UGGGGAAUCUUGCGCAAUGGGCGAAAGCCUGACGCAGCCAUGCCGCGUGAAUGAUGAAGGUCUUAGGAUUGUAAAAUUCUUUCACCGGGGACGAUAAUGACGGUACCCGGAGAAGAAGCCCCGGCUAACUUCGUGCCAGCAGCCGCGGUAAUACGAAGGGGGCUAGCGUUGCUCGGAAUUACUGGGCGUAAAGGGAGCGUAGGCGGACAUUUAAGUCAGGGGUGAAAUCCCGGGGCUCAACCUCGGAAUUGCCUUUGAUACUGGGUGUCUUGAGUGUGAGAGAGGUAUGUGGAACUCCGAGUGUAGAGGUGAAAUUCGUAGAUAUUCGGAAGAACACCAGUGGCGAAGGCGACAUACUGGCUCAUUACUGACGCUGAGGCUCGAAAGCGUGGGGAGCAAACAGGAUUAGAUACCCUGGUAGUCCACGCCGUAAAACGAUGAUUGCUAGUCGUCGGGAAUGCAUGCAUUUCGGUGACGCAGCUAACGCUUAAGCAAAUCCGCCUGGGGAGUACGGUCGCAAGAUUAAAACUCAAAGGAAUUGACGGGGGUCAUAGCUGUUUCCUG
rnacentral:rRNA from 1 species